rnacentral:tRNA from 13 species
GGGCGUGUAGCUCAGCGGGAGAGCACUACGUUGACAUCGUAGAGGUCACAGGUUCAAUCCCUGUCACGCCCACCA